GCACCUCAUUCCCUGAUCCUAACAGAAAACACCUGGGUGGAGACUGAUCCUGAAGACAUGCAGAUUGGGUGUCCUGGAGAGGAAGUGGACCAGAGACGCAGAAAGUGACGGGAGAAGACCGAUGAAAGAACAGCAGGAGCAGCUGUGGGAGACAAGUCAGUAGCAACAAUGAAGGCAGAGACGGAGUGAGGCCAUUGGGGAAUGGCAUAGCGGUCUGCCUCCCUUUCUGAUCCCUUUCUCAUUGCUUCAUGAUUCUCCAGGCAAGGAAUGUGACUUGCUCAGCAACAUCAACUCAUUUAUGUAAAGGAAGAAAAACACAUUGCACAUAAGUGAUUGGAAACACCUCUCCCCUUUCCAUUCGGUAAGAUCAACUCUGCUUCAUUUCCCUGUGGGCCUGGGAUUUGCAAUCAGUCCUAACAUUAAACAGACUCCUCGUGGGUCCUUAGCU